UGAGUUCUCCCUGACCCUUUAAGGGUCCUGAAGGAACGUUGAAGACGACGACGUUGAUAGGCCGGGUGUGUAAGCGCAGCGAUGCGUUGAGCUAACCGGUACUAAUGAACCGUGAGGCUUAACCUUACAACGCCGAAG
rnacentral:rRNA from 1 species